GAUGAACGCUGGCGGCGUGCCUAAUACAUGCAAGUCGAGCGAAAAGACGCGAAGCUUGCUGCUCUCACGUUAGCGGCAGACGGGUGAGUAACAUGUGGAUACCCUCCUUAUCAGCCUGGGAUAACUUCGAGACUCCGGCUCUAAUCCCGGAUAAUAUCUUCAACCGCAUGGUUCAAUAGUGAAAGUCGGUUUUGCUGUCACCUAUCGAUGUAUCCGCUCCUGAUUGGCUAGUUGGUAAGGUAACGGCUUAACAAGGCGACGAUGCGUAGCCGACCUGAGCGGGUGAUCGGCGACUCUGGAACUGAAACGCGGCACAGGGUCCGACGGGAGGCAGCAAUAGGUAAGCGUGCGAGAUGGGCGGAAUCUUGACGGAGGAGCGCCGCGUGAAUGAAGAAGGGCUUCGGAGCGUAAAACGCUGUUAGUGUGGAAGAACAAAUGUGUAAGGAACUAUGCACGUCUUGACGGUACCUGAUCAGAAAGCCACGGCUAACUACGUG
rnacentral:rRNA from 1 species